rnacentral:snRNA from 1 species
AUUGUUUCUCGGCCUUUUGGCUAAGAUCAAGUGUAGUACAUGUGAUACACAUAUAACUUCUUUAUCCAUUCAUCCACU